CAAGAGAACGUAUUGCCGUGCCAUACCAGUUGUAACCCAAUAUCAUUCAUUACCACUAAAUCUAAAACAAGAUUCAAAACAGUGCUGUCUUUUUCUUAUCUAGGCUAAUUUCUGUCUGCAGCUAUUUGAUCGAUAUUCAUUUAGUUUCCAGAUUGCCUUCCUUCAUGCUUCGAAAUUGAUUGGAACAAAAAUGUCUAUUAUAGUAUUUUUCUUAUCUUUCCCCUUUUCAUUCUGAAAUCUCAUGAAUUGUCAAGCUGUGCCUAAAACAUUCUCGAAAAUAUUUAUGCUUCUGAAGAGGAAAGAAAAUAGAAAAAUAAAAAGAAUUUCCUAGUUUAUAACCGACAAACAGAACAGGCUAUAGUUUUCUAUUAUUAUUUAUAUUUCAUUUAUUUUAUUAUAUAGAAAAGAUAAGUUGGUCGAUCAAGGGUAAAAUUAUUAUUUUAUUUUAUUUUUUCUCUUUCUUUUUCUAUUUCUGUUGGUUGAUCAAGAGCAAAUCUCUUAUUUUUAGUUCCCCAAAAUAAUAAUACUGUGGUUGUUUCAUUUGAUUUCUCUUCAUGGUCUUUCAAGUUCAGGUAAUUUUUUCUCUCAAUUUUUGCUUUAAUCUUCUUCUAGUUCUUUUCAAAUUUCUCAAUUUCAUGGCUGAAAUUCAUUAUUGUUUUUCUACUAUGUUCUUAUUCAUCUAUUCAUCUCCUUCCUUUUGUUUCUCUCUUUCAUUAUUAAAAUACUCCUUUUGCAUAAUCUCUUUAUUUUUCUUCAGAUUUUCAAAGAUUACUUCUUUUUUCCAGUUCUUUACAUCUUCUCGGCUGCUGUUUUAAUUUCAGGUAUGAGUUGUCUCAAUUUUUGCCCACUUCUAAUUUUCUCUUCAGCCUUCCAAAUUUCAUUGCUGGAAUUCAUGGCUGAUGUCUUUAAUAGAGAAAGAGGUAAAGUUUCGAAAGGUUUGCUAUGCGUAAAAUGUAGUUGGGAGAUUGGGGUAGAAACGAUGAACAAAAAAAUUAUAGUAGUAAUUUCAUUUGUUUUGACUGCUUUUUUAAUUUUAUUUUUUCGUUUCUAUUGAUUAGAAAGGUAAUUUUUUGUUUACACCAUCUCCCUCGAAUUCUUUCAUGUACUUUUCUCUAUUACUAUCUUUAAUAAAAGCUUCUAUCGAUUGAUCCAAAUUUUUUAAUUAUAGAUGAGCAUGUUUUCGAAAUAUUCUGCUUCUUAUGAUCACAUCAUUUAUUUUGAAAUGAGUAUAUUUUAAUUGAUGUUACUUCACUGUUUUUUGACCAAAGAGUAAUUGUCUAGGUAGAGAGAGGAGUCAAUGUUGCUUUAUCUCCUUUUUUUCACACCAUAAGAAAGAAAUUUAGAUUCGUAAUCAAUUUCCAUGCUCAACAAGAUACACCAAUCUUGGAAUGUUUUGCUUUCAAUCUUAUAGAUUUCCUGGUAGAGCUUACUCUAAGUGUUAGAUGAGAACACUGAUGGAGCUUACUUUAAGUCUCGGUUGAAAACUCUUAUUGUAUGUAUUCAUACGGUCAUUUGACAAUGAAGUAUUUACAGUUACAUAUAAGUUUAAAUUUUACCUCAUCAAAAUUGAUAUUUUCUUCAAGAAACAUAACUGAGGAAGUUUUCAUUGAAAACUUUUGCAUUACUUAAUUAGUUUAACUAUUCAGCAAACAAAUUUGGCUGUUAUUGUGAAUUUUUGGGUGAUGAGUGAAUCAUGAAUGACGGUUUCUGGAUUGUUGAUCUCUUUUGAUAUGAUAAAUUUAUAAUAUGGGUAGCAGAAUCUUUUAACUUUUUUCUUGCUACAAUUGUUACAUAUUAUUUUAAACAUGUAUUAUUAGGAAGAUUUGUCAAGAAUAUUAAAUUGAAUUUCUUAUUGCUUCUUAGGAAAGAAGAAUAUAAGAGUGCGAAUAUCAUCCAUGCCUAUCAUUUCCUUGAAAUUGACUUCUAAGGCAUGUACCGAGUUUUACAACCAGUAUGAAUAGAUCUUUGACUUUUAUUAUUUUAAGUUAUUGCAAAUUUACUUGUACGCAAACAGUUGUGGAAAAAAAAUCUACCUAAUAAUCCUUUGUGACUUUCACCUCUUAUUUGUGAGACUGACAAUUCCUUUUAAUUUAGAUAGAUUGUAGAAAAACAAUGCAACAUACCUUCUUAUUACUAAUGCACACCUUUAAAGAAAAUAAUACUUCUUAUUUUCUUUUUAAUAUAUGUGUAUACCACCAUUUAGAACUAUAUUGUGUCUUGCUAUUAUGAGACAGAUAAUUUAGUGACUGUCAAUAAUUUUUCAUGUAAUUGAGGUUAGUUGUUGAACUACUAAGAGUUGGCUUGAUUUUUUCGUUUCAAAUAUUUUUGGGUAGUUUAGAAGAUAACAUUUGUGACCAGGCUCAACUGAAGAGCAAUGUCUUACCGUCGAGUCAUUAAGAAGAAGCCUGCCAGAUUAUUAUGCUUCAACUACUUUAUUCCAUUUGACCUGUUUGAUUUUUGGCACUAAGAUUCAAUUAACAUUUUGGUCAUCUAAUAUAGUUGAUGUAGCAUAUCAGGGUUAGCUAAUUCAAUGUGGCCUCCACUCCUACAGCCACUGUAUAAUUUAAUUCUGCUGCACGGGGUUCUAUAUUUUCAUUUGCUUUAGAUACUUUCCCCAAUUUUAUACUUUUUGUUCUUAUCCUUCUACUCAGAUUGAUACAAUCUCCAGAUUAACUACUCAUCUUUCUAGCCAGAUCUUGUGAAAUAUUCUCUUCCCUCUCUUACUGCUAAUUCUUUAAUAUAAGGUUUUCUUUGUUUCUAAGGGUAUGCUUUGUUCUUUGAUUUUUCGUUGUAGGUUGUCGGUUACACUUCUAGAUUUUGAUUAUUAUCUUUUAAUUUCCUAUUCAAAUAGAGAAAAUCCUCAGAUUGUUCCUGCAGAGUGUAAGUACUUUAGAAAGUUGUUGAAUGAGAGUAUUAAGGUAGUACCUCUUAAAUAGUAUGCAAGAGUCUGAGAUUUUAAGAUCAUUAAGAUGAUGAAUAGGUGGCUUUAUUAUUUAAUCAUUUUACAGCUUAAUGGAAGAAAAAGAAGAAAAAAAAAGGAAAGAAUUUAUUCCCAUCAGCUCUCACCUUAGAUAUAUUGAAUUUUGCAUCUCCUUUAAUAUGAGUGAAUGAUGCUAGCAACUACUUCCUGUAUUUGAUGGUGUGGGCAGUAGACUCUGAUAUAACUGAUAAUUACUUUUGUGCAAUAUUGAUUGCUUGAUGGAUAUGAGACAAUAUUUUAAAGGUUCUCUUUUAAUUGUGAUUUCCUUUAAAAAUAUGGAGAAUAAUUAAAUCAUUAUAAUGCAUCCAAGGGAAUGCUGUUAGAACUUGAUAUUCUUACUUUAUUCGUAGGAUCUUAUAGAUUUACAAUGGGAAAAGAUAUUGCUUUCUAUAUUUGGUGUUUCAAGAGUUUUUCGAAAAUAAUUCUUGGAGAAGUUUGUGGAAACAUUUUGUAAGAAUGUUUCUGGGAACAAUUCUUGUUUCGAUGAUUGUUAUUGUAAAAAUAUUUUUGAAAAAUGAACUAUAUUUGAUUGGAUAGGAUUAUUAAAGAGCGUGAAAAUUGAAAAGCGACCUAUCAGUUAGAUGAACUUUUAAUCAAAAUGAUAAAUUCUAAUCGCAUGUGCGCCAGCAGUUAAAGUUUGCAUACAACUUCAACUGGAUUGACUAUUAGCAUCUUUACUUACCUACUCACUAGAUUUUUGACCAUAUUAUGUUGCAUAUUUGGAAGGACCUACCAACUAUUCCGUCAAAAGUUUGUUGCAGUUGAUAUGUCUUUUGGAGGAUAAGAGAAGACAAAUCAAACUCCAGCUAACACAACAAGAAGUUCUCGGUUAUUCAGAUCUCAAAAAGACGCGAGCUCGGAUGGGAGCUAACAGGAGUUACAGAGAACUACUACUUGAACUGCUUUAUAAAUCUACUUGAUAAUUUUUACAUAGAGCCUGAUUGAAAUUUGUAAGUUAUUAAAUUCUUUUACGUUGUAAUGUAUUCAUGAGGUGAGUUCUCAUCAAAUACUUAUAUAUACUUUGUUUCUUGCCCAAAUUGAACGCCAUUUUUAUUAACUUUUUAAUGUGAACUAUUGAUCUCUCCUUAAAUUUGUUGCAUCCUUUUCAUAUGCAUGAUGGCUUUGUUUCUUAUCAAACUUCUAACACCAGGGCCUAUGAAAUAAGAGUUGAUAGGGCUGCUUUUACAGACGAUAAUAAAUCGUUGACAGAAAAUCUAUGCACCAUGUUGGUUCUAUUAUCUUUUAAAUGACUUGUGUCUCCAUCCUUUUAUAUACUGAUUAACCAAGUUAUGUUUAUUCGAG
rnacentral:lncRNA from 1 species